AGUUGAAGAGCUUUGAUUUGAAAAAAUGAAUUUCAGGUAUGCUAAAGUCGCAAAACUACUUCCGGUCCCAUCACAAUAAAAGGCCACGACCCAAUGCUUCAAAUGUAUUUUUAUUGUCCAAUGAAUCAAAAAGUGCACAUUAGUUACAAGGAAACGGUUGUAUGACACGUUGACAAACAUCAACAUCACAACACCAUUUUUUUUCUUUGUAUUGACCAUUCCAAACACUAAAAACACGAUGAAUACUCGUCAGGUCAUUUUAGUGCUGGCAAAUAUUUUUCUUUCAAAUAAACGCCCCGGAAAACACAAACUUGCAAAAAAAAAAAAAAAAA